UGAGGAAUAUGGAUUAAUAUUUAAUGUCAGCCAUGUUCCCACACCAACCAUCUGCUGAAAGGUAGCAGAGGUAGUGAGCUCCACAGGGGGGGGUCCUGCUUCAAAGCCAGCCAGAUGGCAGAGAGCCUUUAGCAGUCCACCUUUGUUUACAAUUUCUCACCUCCUUUCAGCCAUCCAGGGAACAGGAAAAAUUU